GGUCCCCUUCCACAACGUGGAAGCUUUGUUCUUUCGCUCUUUGCAAUAAAUCUUGCUACUGCUCACUCUUUGGGUCCUCGCUGCUUUUAUGAGCUGUAACACUCACCGCAAAGAUCUGCAGCUUCACUCCUGAGCCCAGGGAGACCACGAGCCCACCGGGAGGAAUGAACAACUCCAGACGCGCUGCCUUAAGAGCUGUAACACUCACCACGAAGGUCUGCAGCUUCACUCCUGAGCCAGCGAGACCACGAACCCACCAGAAGGAAGAAACUCUGAACACAUCUGAACAUCAGAAGGGACAGACUCCAGACGCGCCACCUUAAGAGCUGUGACACUCACCGCGAGGGUCUGCGGCUUCAUUCUUGAAGUCAGUGAGAUCAAGAACCCACCAGUUCCGGACAUAGUAGGGAAACAGACAAUGCAGCCUUCAGUAGGGGGCCAAAGGGUGGAGAACCCCUAGCAGAUAACCAAUCUAAAACA
rnacentral:lncRNA from 1 species